AGAGCUCCCAUCAAACCUGUUUAAAACAAAAUCUUUCCUGGGGCUCAGCAUUCCGAGAAGAUGGUGACUCAUCGUUCUGGGGGCUGGCUGGAGGGAUGUUUGUUUUUCCAGCAGGCAAAAUCAUUCCUUCUCCUAAUCUGGGAAUACCAAGUGCUUGAAACAGCAGGAAAGAUUGCAGAUCUGAAGACAGUAUAGAGGGAGGAGCCAAUCUGUGCAUCUCCAGGCUUAAAAGGAAGACCUUACUAAGGACUGCUGAACCUGAACAUCUGCCCUGUGGGAAAUGGGAAGUUGAAUGACGUGAAGCCUUGAGCUCAUCCUGGAAAUCUCCUUCCCUUGCAUCACUCAUCACCCCUCCAGCACUUGGCACUUCUGUUCAGGGCCAAGGUGGGAAAAAGUCUCUGGAUGCUGUCCUCGAAUUCAGUCGAGAAUGGUGAUUCUGGCACGUUGCUUUGUGCCUUGAAGAGCAGUUAUUUGACCCACCCAGCCUGGGGACAAGCAGCUGUGACAGUGAGGGGUCCCAGGAAGGAACUUGCAGGGUCUCCAGUGUGGUACCCUGGCAGAAGGAGGUUGGGAUCCUGCUGGCCCUGGGCAGAACUGGCUCCUGCAUGACAGUCCCCAGGACCUCUGGGCAGUGCUGCUCCUGCCACCCUG